rnacentral:rRNA from 1 species
GUUGUCCGGAAUCAUUGGGCGUAAAGCGCGCGUAGGUGGCCAUGUACGUCCGCUGUGAAAGUCAAAGGCUCAACCUUUGAAAGCCGGUGGAUACUGUGAGGCUAGAGUACGGAAGAGGCGAGUGGAAUUCCUGGUGUAGCGGUGGAAUGCGCAGAUAUCAGGAGGAACACCAAUAGCGAAGGCAGCUCGCUGGGACGUAACUGACACUGAGGCGCGAAAGCGUGGGGAGCGAACAGG